UAUCUAUAUGUAAAAGUUGUAGAUAUAAAGCGGGAAAGUUGAAGAAGGACUUGUAGAGCACGAAACACGGUCCUGUAGUGUAAACGAAAUAUACUAUCGUACUGACGUCGAAUUCACUUUCGUUUCUUCGUUCUUCAAUGGAUCGUUUGGCUAGGUCAGCUCGAGCGUGGCGUUGGUAUUGGCGUUCUUUUUCCUCUUUUCAAACCCUAACUUCUCGAUCCUCACUUCUUUCUACACAUCCCAAAUCUGCGUCUUCUCGGUUUUCCUCUUCCGAUGUUUCGAUGUCCAGAGUCUUGCCCGAGGAUUAUUCAUGGCUUCGGUCUUCUUUGCUGCUGUUUUUGGAUCUGGAUUGGUGGGAGUGGCUUAUGCGGAUAAUGCUACUGUGGAUGUCCAAGAAAGAGCCAUGAAGGAACGCGAGCGAAUUGAGGCGUUGAUUAGAAGUAGAGGAAUUCGAUACGGUUCUUAUCCUUCAUUCUCUGUUGCCGUUAAAGGCCAAAAGGAAGACUUUUAUGCUGUUGUGGAUUGGGCAUACAAGAUUGAUCUUCUACACUGUAUAUCAAUGCAUGGAAUAACAGAGUGCUAUCUUUUUGGUCAGAAAGCUGAUGCAACAGGAUUUGUACGUGAUUUACUUCGUGACCUAGAGUCUCGGAUAUCUAUUCAGUUCAACCGUUUUGUUGAUGAAGCUUGCCAUCAAAUUGAAAGAAAUGAAAAGAAUGUUCGGUCAACGGGUGUUCUCUCAUAUUCCCAGCCAUUUAUGCAAAGUUUGGAACAUAGAAAGAGAGAAGUAGAAUAGUAUCUCUAAUGGCAUGAAAGGAUCUUAACAUGAUUUGCAACCCUUGCAACUCGGAUGGAGCAGUACAUCCAGGGUCAGUCUAGGGAUUUGGUUGACCAAGCAUAUACAAAAUUUAUUUUGAUUUGAAGGAGGCUGCAUAUGCUGAAGGCACAGAGCUUUGGUUGCUGCAGCAAGGUGUGUUGUACGCACAGAAUCCGCAUAUACCAUCCUUUGAUGGAGAGUUGUUAUUACUGCAGCAGAGAGCUAAAGAGGAGAAAUGCAAUGCAACCAUGGAGAUUGUGCGUAGAGGAGCUAAGCAUGGAGAAAAACGAAUAA